rnacentral:lncRNA from 1 species
GGACACGGGACCGAAGCUGAGCCAAUCAAAGUCCUUCCCUUUGAAACAGGACUGGAUAGAGGAAAACUUACUGGCAUCAUCACAAAACGGAAAGACGAAGCUCUUCUCCUUCUUUGGAAGAGCUGGCUUUAAGCUCUUUCCCGAAAGCCUGAGGCAUGAAGUGUUUAGAACCAGCUCUCUGAUGCAGGACCUGCCCCCAAGCUCCACAUCCCAGGGUCUCUCUGGCCUCAGUUUCUCCACCUGCAGCAGAAGAGCUGAUCCCUAAGAGAGAUGGUGCAACCAGAGGCUUGGGAAGCCUCCCGAAUCCAAAUUAAUUAAAGCGUGGAGCAAGCCGCAGAUGAAAGAAGCUUGUAGAACUCUUCCACAAUCCUAAUAAAGAAU